rnacentral:rRNA from 1 species
GACGAACGCUGGCGGCGUGCUUAACACAUGCAAGUCGAACGAAGUGGCGAACGGGUGAGUAACGCGUAAUCAACCUGCCCUUCAGAGGGGGACAACAGUUGGAAACGACUGCUAAUACCGCAUACGGAAGGAGGGGAUUGCGUCUGAUUAGCGAGUUGGAGGGGUAACGGCCCACCAAGGCGAUGAUCAGUAGCCGGUCUGACGGGAUUGACGGCCACAUUGGGACUGAGAACCGGCUCAGACUCCCACGGGGGGCAGCCGUGGGGAAUUUUCCGCAAUGGAGGAAAGUCUGACGGAGCACAUCCGGGUGAGUGAUGGCGGCCUUCGGGUUAUAAAGCUAUGUUAAUCGGGACGCGGUACCGGAAUAGAAAGCAACGGCUAACUACGUGCCAGCAGCCGCGGUAAUAC